CUACGGGUGGCUCCAGUGGGGAAUAUUGCACAAUGGGGGAAACUCUGAUGCAGCAACGCCGCGUGGAGGAUGACACUUUUCGGAGCGUAAACUCCUUUUAUAUAGGAAGAAGAUGACGGUACUAUAUGAAUAAGCGCCGGCUAACUCCGUGCCAGCAGCCGCGGUAAUACGGAGGGCGCAAGCGUUACUCGGAAUCACUGGGCGUAAAGAGCGUGUAGGCGGAUUAAAAAGUCAGAAGUGAAAUCCUAUAGCUUAACUAUAGAACUGCUUCUGAAACUCUUAAUCUAGAAUGUGGGAGAGGUAGAUGGAAUUUCUGGUGUAGGGGUAAAAUCCGUAGAGAUCAGAAGGAAUACCGAUUGCGAAGGCGAUCUACUAGAACAUUACUGACGCUAAGGCGUGAAAGCGUGGGGAGCAAACAGGAUUAGAUACCCUUGUAGUC
rnacentral:rRNA from 1 species